AGAGUUUGAUCAUGGCUCAGGAUGAACGCUGGCGGCGUGCCUAAUACAUGCAAGUCGAGCGAACCACUUCGGUGGGAAGCGGCGAACGGGUGAGUAACACGUAGGUAAUCUGCCCAUCAGACGGGGACAACGAUUGGAAACGAUCGCUAAUACCGGAUAGGACGAAAGUUUAAAGAUGCUCCUGGCAUCACUGAUGGAUGAGCCUGCGGCGCAUUAGCUAGUUGGUGGGGUAAAGGCCUACCAAGGCGACGAUGCGUAGCCGACCUGAGAGGGUGAACGGCCACACUGGGACUGAGACACGGCCCAGACUCCUACGGGAGGCAGCAGUAGGGAAUCUUCGGCAAUGGGCGAAAGCCUGACCGAGCAACGCCGCGUGAAUGAAGAAGGCCUUCGGGUUGUAAAAUUCUGUUAUAAGGGAAGAAAGGUGAUAGGAGGAAAUGACUAUCAAUUGACGGUACCUUAUGAGAAAGCCACGGCUAACUACGUGCCAGCAGCCGCG
rnacentral:rRNA from 1 species